GACGAACGCUGGCGGCGUGCUUAACACAUGCAAGUCGAACGAGGUCCACCGCGUAGCAAUACAAGGGAAGACCUAGUGGCGAACAGGUGCGUAACACGUGAGGAACUUGUCCCGGUCUCUGGGAUAACAGUUGGAAACGACUGCUAAUACCGGAUGACGUCGGAGCAUCGCAUGGUGCGCUGACGAAAGGGUUACUGGAUCGGGAGAGCCUCGCGGCCUAUCAGCUUGUUGGUGGGGUAACGGCCUACCAAGGCAUCGACGGGUAGCUGGUCUGAGAGGAUGAUCAGCCACACUGGGACUGAGACACGGCCCAGACUUCUACGGGAGGCAGCAGUGGGGAAUCUUGCGCAAUGGGCGAAAGCCUGACGCAGCAACGCCGCGUGCGGGAAGAAGGCCCUCGGGUUGUAAACCGCUUUCAGCAGGAACGAAAAUGACGGUACUUGCAGAAGAAGGUGCGGCU
rnacentral:rRNA from 1 species